rnacentral:rRNA from 1 species
CCUACGGGCGGCUGCAGUGGGGAAUAUUGGACAAUGGGGGGAACCCUGAUCCAGCCAUGCCGCGUGUGUGAAGAAGGCCCUCGGGUUGUAAAGCACUUUCAGUGAGGAAGAACGCCUGGUGGUUAAUACCCAUCAGGAAAGACAUCACUCACAGAAGAAGCACCGGCUAACUCCGUGCCAGCAGCCGCGGUAAUACGGAGGGUGCGAGCGUUAAUCGGAAUUACUGAGCGUAAAGCGCGCGUAGGUGGCUUGAUAAGCCGGUUGUGAAAGCCCCGGGCUCAACCUGGGAACGGCAUCCGGAACUGUCAAGCUAGAGUGCAGGAGAGGAAGGUAGAAUUCCCGGUGUAGCGGUGAAAUGCGUAGAGAUCGGGAGGAAUACCAGUGGCGAAGGCGGCCUUCUGGACUGACACUGACACUGAGGUGCGAAAGCGUGGGUAGCAAACAGGAUUAGAUACCCCAGUAGUC